rnacentral:rRNA from 1 species
UACGGGGGGAGCAAGCGUUGUUCGGAUUUACUGGGCGUAAAGGGCGCGUAGGCGGCCGUGCAAGUCACUUGUGAAAUCUCCGGGCUUAACUCGGAAAGGUCAACUGAUACUGCUCGGCUAGAGUGCGGAAGGGGCAACUGGAAUUCCUGGUGUAGCGGUGAAAUGCGCAGAUAUCAGGAGGAACACCGGUGGCGAAGGCGGGUCUCUGGGCCGAAAUUGACGCUGAGGAGCGAAAGCGUGGGGAGCAAACAGG